rnacentral:rRNA from 1 species
CUCAAAUCAGGUGGACUACCCGCUGAACUUAAGCCUUUCAUUNGGG